GUGAAUAGCUCAUGUGCUGGAUGCCAGCCAUCUUACCUUGUCCAGCCUUGUCUUCUUCAGGAAAAGAAUACUCCACUUGUCUUCCGUAAGUAGUCAAAAAUGGCUUCUACUGAUCAGGAUAUUACUUCAACCAGCCCUUUGCCAUCAAGAGGAUGAAGGCUGCCACAGGGCUGUCCUUUCUCCAUAGAUGUAGCUGAGGAUGCAGAUGGAUGGCUGAAUGCUACGCUGCUCUUAAAUCCUGGGGAUCCUGGGAAUGGGCCUGAUGAAGCACAGCCUCACCAGGUCCACCCUAAAGAGGUGGGGCCAGUUGCAGCCCCUGGAUACAGCAGUGCCCAGCAGCCCAACCUCUGGAGAUUUACCUUUUUCUCUCUUUGCUUACUCUCCUCUGGCACUGUCCUGGGCUUAGGCACCUGCCUCCAGGACAGGUGGGGACAUCUUCCAGGUCUGCUGUAUGACCAAGGGGCUCAUGUCCAUCAUGGCAGUUCUUAGUGGAGAGGCUAGACUGUGGCCCAG
rnacentral:lncRNA from 1 species